UUUGAUCAUGGCUCAGAUUGAACGCUGGCGGCAGGCCUAACACAUGCAAGUCGAGCGGAAACGACAACAUUGKCUUCGGGUGAUUUGUUGGGCGUCGAGCGGCGGACGGGUGAGUAAUGCCUGGGAAAUUGCCCUGAUGUGGGGGAUAACCAUUGGAAACGAUGGCUAAUACCGCAUGAUGCUACGGGCCAAAGAGGGGGACUUCGGGCCUCUCGCGUCAGGAUAUGCCCAGGUGGGAUUAGCUAGUUGGUGAGGUAAUGGCUCACCAAGGCGACGAUCCCUAGCUGGUCUGAGAGGAUGAUCAGCCACACUGGAACUGAGACACGGUCCAGACUCUACGGGAGGCAGCAGUGGGGAAUAUUGCACAAUGGGCGCAAGCCUGAUGCAGCCAUGCCGCGUGUAUGAAGAAGGCUUCGGGUUGUAAAGUAUCUUUCAGUGCGUGAGGAAGGGGGUAUCGUUAAUAGCGGUAUUCUUUGACGUUAGCGAGCAGAAGAAGCACCGGCCUAACUCCGUGCCAGACAGCCGCGGUAAUAUCGGAGGGUGCGAGCGUUAAUCGGAAUUACUGGGCGUAAAGCGCAUGCAGGUGGUUCGUUAAGUCAGAUGUGAAAGCCCGGGGCUCAACCUCGAAUAGCAUUUGAAACUGGCGGAACUAGAGUACUGUAGAGGGGGGUAGAAUUUCAGGUGUAGCGGUGAAAUGCGUAGAGAUCUGAAGGAAUACCAGUGCGAAGGCCGGCCCCCUGGACAGAUACUGACANUCAGAU
rnacentral:rRNA from 1 species